UACGUAGGGUCCGAGCGUUGCCCGGAAUUAUUGGGCGUAAAGAGCUCGUAGGCGGCUUGUCGCGUCGACUGUGAAAACCCGCGGCUCAACUGUGGGCUUGCAGUCGAUACGGGCAGGCUGGAGUUCGGUAGGGGAGACUGGAAUUCCUGGUGUAGCGGUGAAAUGCGCAGAUAUCAGGAGGAACACCGGUGGCGAAGGCGGGUCUCUGGGCCGAUACUGACGCUGAGGAGCGAAAGCGUGGGGAGCGAACAGG
rnacentral:rRNA from 1 species